rnacentral:rRNA from 1 species
GGUGAACGCUGGCGGCGUGCUUAAGACAUGCAAGUCGAACGGCAGUCUUCGGACUGUAGUGGCGCACGGGUGAGUAACGCGUAACUGACCUACCCCAAAGUCGCGGAUAACGAUUCGAAAGAAUCGCUAAUACGUGAUGUGCUGUCAGAUUGUGUUCUGCCAGUAAAGAUUGAUUGCUUUGGGAUGGGGUUGCGUUCCAUCAGCUAGUUGGUGGGGUAAAGGCCCACCAAGGCGACGACGGAUAGCCGGCCUGAGAGGGCGGCCGGCCACAGGGGCACUGGGACACGGGUCCCACUCCUACGGGAGGCAGCAGUUAGGAAUCUUCCACAAUGGGCGAAAGCCUGAUGGAGCGACGCCGCGUGAGGGAUGAAGGUCUUCGGAUCGUAAACCUCUGAAUCAGGGACGAAAGACACUUCGGUGGGAUGACGGUACCUGAGUAAUAGCACCGGCUAACUCCGUGCCAGCCGCCGCUGUAACAC